rnacentral:rRNA from 1 species
UACAGAGGUCUCAAGCGUUGUUCGGAUUCAUUGGGCGUAAAGGGUGCGUAGGCGGUUGCGCAAGUCGGAUGUGAAAUCUCAGGGCUCAACCCUGAAACUGCAUUCGAUACUGCGUGGCUAGAGUGCUGGAGAGGAGACUGGAAUUUACGGUGUAGCAGUGAAAUGCGUAGAUAUCGUAAGGAAGACCAGUGGCGAAGGCGAGUCUCUGGACAGCAACUGACGCUGAGGCACGAAGGCCAGGGGAGCAAACGGG